rnacentral:lncRNA from 10 species
GGCAGAGGAAGGGAGGGAACUGCUCUUCCUGGCUAUCCUUGUCAAAUAGCAAAUUCAGAGCAGAGCCACAGCGAAGCCUGGAGGUAGAGGAAUGCCCCCCGGCCAGCAGUGGUUCAGGGCCGUGCUUAGGAGCACCAAACCUGAGCCUGGGCGCUGCAUGCUCCGAGGGCCAAUCCCAGCACACACUGUUCCCCCACUGUCUGAGGCCCAGCACCUGUUGUCUAGAAUCAGCGUCUACUUGCCUCUAGGCAGACACCCUGACCAAUUCUCUACCCUCCUUGGCUUCUCCAUUUUCAGUUCUGCUCCUCAGACACCAAAAGCUCCUAUCACUACAACCUUCCUCAUAUUACCUUUUCCAAGAUUCUGGCUUAGCCAGUAUUAGUUACAGUUCAGGUCAAUCAAUGUCCUUCAAGAAGAGUUUAGGAAGACCUGUGUGUCCCAAGUCCUAAUCACAUCUCAGAAUGGUUCUGCCACAAACUCUGAGAUUCUUUCAAAAAGCAUGUAUUGAUCUGCUCUUGCUUUCCUAGGGCCAUAAAAGAGGCAGGCUUAUGGAACCAAGUAUGUUGCGCCUCUGAGCUAAUGGUUCCAUCUUUGGAGGCCACUCCUCAGGGUAGUUCUUAACUGACAGAUGACCCCCGACAUUAGAAGAGAUGCCAGCAGAGUCCAGACCUGGGGUAGGACCCUGAGCUGUUUAUCCCCAACAGUCAGAAGGAAGGCUGCACUGUCCCAGGGGCACCCAGCCUCCAAAUGAGCCUCAAGGAAGGGUCUGGAAGGCCAGACAAUACUAUGGUCAGAUUAUGGACUUGGGAAUUGCUGCAGAUGCCAUUGGGGGUAAGGAAGAUUAGGAAAUUCUGGAACUCAGGAGCUGCCCAGGCAGCCAGACUGCCUCUGACACACCCAGUCCUCAUUUGGAUUUGAGGAAAGGAGACUUGAGCGCAGGAGAAAGGCACCCAGGAGCCUGUGAGUCGUGCCUAAGCCUCUGGAUCCCACAUCUGAGGAAACAACUUAAUGUAAGCUUUGAGUGGUGCUACCACCGUCGCCUCUGAGGUUUAACCGAGGCGCGAUUGUUGCUGAUUGAAAACAUGAGACCUAAUUCCAGCCCCCUCCUCCCUCCAGUGGCAGGCGGAGGCUCCACAUCCAUUUCCUGCCUUGGUCAGAACUGGCUCCGGAAUGGGACAGGGCUGCCUGUGGCUCCAGCUGGGGGAGGCUGAGGUGAAUAAAGACAGUGAUGGAGAGGGAUCCAAGGGAAACCAAGGAUGGAUGUGAAGAGCUGAUGCCACCUGCCACCCAUCCAGGUGGAGUCCUCCCAGACUCCAGGCUCAUGCCAAGGGAGGGUGUAGGUGGUUGCUAGUGUAAGCUAAUCCUGUGUCUGUGAUGCCG